rnacentral:rRNA from 1 species
GAUGAACGCUGGCGGCGUGCCUAAUACAUGCAAGUCGAGCGAACAGACGAGGAGCUUGCUCCUCUGACGUUAGCGGCGGACGGGUGAGUAACACGUGGAUAACCUACCUAUCAGAGGGGUAUAACUUCGGGACACCGGAGCUAAUACCGGAUAAUAUAUUGAACCGCAUGGGUGAAUAGUGAAAUUCGGCUUUGCUGUCACUUCUAGAUGGUUCCGCGCCGCAUUAGCUAGUUGGUAAGGUAACGGCUUACCACGGCAACGAUGCGUAUCCGACCUGAGAGGGUGAUCGGCCACACGGGAACUGAGCCACGGUCCAGACUCCUACGGGAGGCAGCAGUAGGGAAUCUGCCGCAAUGGGCGAAAGCAUGACGGAGCAACGCCGCGUGAGUGAUGACGGUCUUCGGAUCGUAAAACUCUGUUACUAGGGAAGAACAAAUGUGUAAGUAACUGUGCACGGCUUGACGGUAACUAAUAAGAAAGCCACGGCUAACUACGUG